GAACGAACGCUGGCGGCGUGGAUAAGACAUGCAAGUCGAGCGCUGAUUCAAGGGUAGCAAUAUUCUUGAGUCGGAGCGGCGCAAGGGUGCGUAACACGUGGGUAAUUUGCCAUGAAGUCUGGGAUAACUUGCUGAAAGGCGAGCUAAUACCGGAUGUGAUUUUCGGGAAGCAUUUCCUGAAACUCAAAGGUUGGGGACCGUAAGGCCUGACGCUUCUUGAUAAGCCCGCGGCCUAUCAGCUAGGUUGGUGAGGUAACGGCUCACCAAGGCUAAGACGGGUAGCUGGUCUGAGAGGACGACCAGCCACACUGGAACUGAGACACGGUCCAGACACC
rnacentral:rRNA from 1 species